rnacentral:rRNA from 1 species
UACGGGGGGGGCAAGCGUUGUUCGGAAUUACUGGGCGUAAAGGGCUCGUAGGCGGCCAACUAAGUCAGACGUGAAAUCCCUCGGCUUAACCGGGGAACUGCUUCUGAUACUGGAUGGCUUGAGAUUGGGAGAGGGAUGCGGAAUUCCAGGUGUAGCGGUGAAAUGCGUAGAUAUCGAGAGGAACACCUGCGGCGAAGGCGGGUUGCUGGGCUGAUACUGACGCUGAGGCGCGAAAGCCAGGGGAGCGAACGGG